AAGUCGUAACAAGGUUUCCGUAGGUGAACCUGCGGAAGGAUCAUUAACACGUAUCCAAACGUUAAACCCCCCUGUGAACCUUCAGUGUACUCGUACGUCCGUUAGAAAAAGCAGCAAUCCCUGGUAAAUCAUCGCCGAACAGUUUUCGAUUCAGGGACGUCUGCGAGCAAGUGGCCUGGCAUCCCCAAGCAGUUAGUGUCUGAAAGUGUCAUUAACUGUGUAAGGAUGACGCAGUCACGAUCGUUGGAGGCCCACACGGCCGACGACCGGGUCACUGGGCGCAAGCCCCCCUAUAACAAACGCUGCUAAGCGCGGCCGCGAUAAUACGCAGUCGACCAAAAACCGAACAACUGUUAACAAUGGAUAUCUUGGUUCUC
rnacentral:misc_RNA from 1 species